rnacentral:rRNA from 1 species
GACGUAGGGCGCGAGCGUUGUCCGGAUUUAUUGGGCGUAAAGAGCUCGUAGGCGGCUCGUUGCGUCGGCUGUGAAAACCCGCAGCUCAACUGUGGGCUUGCAGCCGAUACGGGCGGGCUGGGAUUCGGUAGGGGAGACUGGAAUUCCUGGUGUAGCGGUGAAAUGCGCAGAUAUCAGGAAGAACACCCGUGGCUAAGGCGGCUCUCUAGUACGGUACUGACGCUGAGACGCGAAAGCGUGGGGAGCGAACAGG